GAUGAGAACGCAGCGAAAUGCGAUAAGUAAUGUGAAUUGCAGAAUUCAGUGAAUCAUCGAAUCUUUGAACGCACAUUGCGCCCGCCAGUAUUCUGGCGGGCAUGCCUGUCCGAGCGUCAUUUCAACCCUCGAACCCCUCCGGGGGGUCGGCGUUGGGGAUCGGCCCUGCCUCUUGGCGGUGGCCGUCUCCGAAAUACAGUGGCGGUCUCGCCGCAGCCUCUCCUGCGCAGUAGUUUGCACACUCGCAUCGGGAGCGCGGCGCGUCCACAGCCGUUAAACACCCAACUUCUGAAAUGUUGACCUCGGAUCAGGUAGGAAUACCCGCUGAACUUAAGCAUAUCAAUAAGCGGAGGA
rnacentral:misc_RNA from 1 species